rnacentral:rRNA from 1 species
GACGAACGCUGGCGGCGUGCCUAAUACAUGCAAGUAGAACGCUGAAGAGAGGAGCUUGCUCUUCUUGGAUGAGUUGCGAACGGGUGAGUAACGCGUAGGUAACCUGCCUGGUAGCGGGGGAUAACUAUUGGAAACGAUAGCUAAUACCGCAUAAAAUGGAUCAUCGCAUGAUAAUCCAUUGAAAGGUGCAAAUGCAUCACUACCAGAUGGACCUGCGUUGUAUUAGCUAGUUGGUGGGGUAACGGCUCACCAAGGCGACGAUACAUAGCCGAACUGAGAGGGUGAUCGGCCACACUGGGACGGAGACGAGGCCCAGACUCCUACGGGAGGCAGCAGUAGGGAAUCUUCGGCAAUGGACGGAAGUCUGACCGAGCAACGCCGCGAGAGUGAAGAAGGUUUUCGGAUCGUAAAGCUCUGUUGUAAGAGAAGAACGAGUGUGAGAGUGGAAAGUUCACACUGUGACGGUAUCUUACCAGAAAGGGACGGCUAACUACGUG